rnacentral:rRNA from 1 species
ACGAACGCUGGCGGCGCGCCUAACACAUGCAAGUCGCACGGAGCUGAGAGAAGCUUGCUUUUCUUAGCUUAGUGGCGAACGGGUGAGUAACGCGUGAGUAACCUGCCCUGGAGUGGGGGACAACAGUUGGAAACGACUGCUAAUACCGCAUAAGCCCACGAUCCGGCAUCGGAUUGAGGGAAAAGGAUUUAUUCGCUUCAGGAUGGACUCGCGUCCAAUUAGCUAGUUGGUGAGGUAACGGCCCACCAAGGCGACGAUUGGUAGCCGGACUGAGAGGUUGAACGGCCACAGUGGGACUGAGACACGGCCCAGAAUCCUACGGGAGGCAGCAGUGGGGGAUAUUGCACAAUGGGGGAAACCCUGAUGCAGCGACGCCGCGUGGAGGAAGAAGGUUUUCGGAUUGUAAACUCCUGUCGUGAGGGACGAUAAUGACGGUACCUAACAAGAAAGCACCGGCUAACUACGUG